AUGUUUGUUUGGUCUCAUUAAGUGACUACUACUUCCUAGUGUAGUCCCAUGUUUGGUCCGUGCUAGGACUAAGUUAAAUGAGAUUAAACGUGAGAUUAAACGGGAUUUGCGUGGACCAUCGGCCUCGCUAGCCGUUCUUAGCGAGACCUCCCCCAACCAUGGGACUCCCUAAGACCAUCUCUGCUUCGCUCUUUCCGCUUUGCUCCUCCCAUCUACUUCUUCUUCCCCACAGCUUGCAUACAGACAAAGAGAGGGAAAGAGAAGAAGGAGAAGAAGAAGAGCCGCAGAAAGAGGGCAAAGGGGAAAAGGUUUUGUUAUGGGCUACUGGGUGAGAAGAAGAUGGAGAAUCUAGGGCAAGCAAGGACAGCCGUCAUCGAUGGAUCUAAAGGCGAACUGGGUGACCUCGAAAAUAACUUCAUGAGUAUGUUUAAUUUUUGUUUAGGUGAAAUGGAGAAGUCAAUGGUGCCUGAGCCCCUGCUAUGGAAUUGUACUAUUGAUUGUUAUGGAAGAUAUGAGGAUCUCAGUAUCAUCCAAGUGUGUAUACUUACAAUGCGUUGAUCCAUGCACAAGAAGUAAAAGGAGGAAACAUUGAUCAUGCUCUUGCUCUAAAAAAGGAGAUGGUUAUCUGAUCUUUGUUCUGUAUAAUUUGUUGAUAGGUGCUGCUUUUAAGUUAGGGCUCCAGUUAUAUGAUGAAAUUCUGAGAAUAGGAUUUGAUCCAGAUAUAUUUACUUACACUGCACUAAUCAGAGGGCACUGCGUGAGAGGUGACAUGAAGGAGGCAGAAGAGCUUUUUACAAAGAUACAUAAAUUUGGUUUAUUCCAUAUCGUAUAUUUUUCAAGGAGUACUGCUAAAUUAAGGAGCCUGACAUGGCAUUUGGUGUUUACCAGAAGUGGCUGGGAAGGGGAUGCAAAUAUCUGGAGCUGAAAAUGAGGUUGAUUCAAAAGUGAUAUCAAAGCUGAAAAUGAUGUUUCCCCAAUUAACUAGCUUUUGUGAAUCAUGGGAAUCUAAUUUUGAAUGAUAAUAUUGUAGCUAGCUAUUGCAAGUACGUUGCAGAUUAGUGUAACUAGCGUAUAUUGUAGUUAUUGUAAGUAUGUUGCAGAUUGUUACUUGUUUUCUUGAAUUAUGAUAUUUCUUUUGUGCCAAGAAAUUUGGUUAGUCUUUUUA